rnacentral:rRNA from 1 species
UACGUAGGGCGCAAGCGUUGUCCGGAAUUAUUGGGCGUAAAGAGCUUGUAGGCGGUCUGUUACGUCUGCUGUGAAAAUCCUGGGCUUAACCCUGGGCUUGCAGUGGAUACGGGCAGACUAGAGGCAGGUAGGGGAGAAUGGAAUUCCCGGUGUAGCGGUGAAAUGCGCAGAUAUCAGGAAGAACACCCGUGGCGAAGGCGGCUCUCUGGGACGGUACUGACGCUGAGACGCGAAAGCGUGGGGAGCGAACAGG